AUUUUUUUUAAGCAAAGGAUUUUUGCUAUGCAUAGCCAUAUACACAAGAGGCGAAGAGAGGCCCACAAGAGAAAGGAAAAGCUUCCUGUGCGUUUUCCUCUUGAGAUAUAGGCCUGACUGCUAUUCAGUAGUAUUCUAGUUAAAGCUAGAAAACACUGUAGAAAUGGCUUGGAUUUUAAAGAUAGUAGGGCUGCCAGUAUGCACUUUCUCCUCUAGACCGUGGUGGACUCCCUGGCAGGAUGUGUCCGCUCCCACAGCUGUAGCGGUGCCAUCCCUCCCACUUGCACCAGCCCGGUCCCAAGCUAUCUUCCAUGGUUGCUAGUGGAAAUGCAGCCACUGCGAACACUUGCACUGAAACCCACUUGAUGGCUUUCCUUUCUGCAAAAGGACUUUGURUACUGCUGCAGGAGCUAGGCCCAGCUGUGUUGGUAGCAGCAUUUCAAUGGUGCUUCCUAACUGAGGUGGACUCCGAGAACCUUCUGUCAUCCUUGUGCAAAUCCAAAGUAUUUUUUAGGAUGAUACUUCAGACUUUGAAGGUAUCUGUAUCGGGAUAG
rnacentral:lncRNA from 1 species